UACGUAGGCAGCGAGCGUUGUUCGGAAUUACUGGGCGUAAAGAGUGUGUAGGCGGUGCUCUAAGUUCGGUGUGAAAUCUCCUGGCUCAACUGGGAGGUGCGCCGGAAACUGGAGUGCUUGAGCGUGGGAGAGGAAAGCGGAAGUUCCUGGUGUAGCGGUGAAAUGCGUAGAUAUCAGGAGGAACACCGAUGGCGAAGGCAGGUC
rnacentral:rRNA from 1 species